rnacentral:rRNA from 1 species
UACGUAGGCAGCAAGCGUUGUUCGGAUUUACUGGGCGUAAAGGGUGCGUAGGCGGCUCUGUAAGUAUGGUGUGAAAUCUCCCGGCUUAACUGGGAGGGUGCGCUAUAGACUGCGGGGCUCGAGUGUGGGAGAGGAAAGUGGAAUUCCUGGUGUAGCGGUGAAAUGCGUAGAUAUCAGGAGGAACACCGGUGGUGUAAACGGCUUUCUGGACCAUAACUGACGCUGAGGCACGAAAGCGUGGGUAGCAAACAGG